rnacentral:rRNA from 1 species
UACGUAGGGUGCGAGCGUUGUCCGGAAUUAUUGGGCGUAAAGAGCUUGUAGGCGGUUUGUCGCGUCUGCUGUGAAAAUCCGGGGCUCAACCCCGGACUUGCAGUGGGUACGGGCAGACUAGAGUGUGGUAGGGGAGACUGGAAGUUCCUGGUGUAGCGGUGAAAUGCGCAGAUAUCAGGAAGAACACCCGUGGCGAAGGCGGCUCUCUGGGACGGUACUGACGCUGAGACGCGAAAGCGUGGGGGAGCGAACAG